CCAGGCUGUGCCUGUCAGGCUCACGGGAAGCAAGAGAAUGGCCCCUGCUCCCGAGCCUCACAACUCAUUUUCUGAUACCCCCUGAGUCUACCUGAACAUCUGCAUUAGGGGUCCAGGCAGCUGACUCCUUUAUAGCGCCUGAGCUUGGCAGGAUGGGGCCACAGGUAGACAGGAGGUUUUUGACUAUUGCAUUCCCCAAGGUUGAUGCCAUAUGGAGAGGAGUAAUUGACCCAAGAAAGAUGAUGUCUGUGGGCACUAUGGGAGAGGGACUCAUCACAAGGACCCUGGUGGUUGUCUCUUGAGCUCUAUCUUGGGAGGCAUACAAUACAGUCCCUCUCACAACUCCAAUCUGCUCCUAGCCACCCUGUCUCUGCUGGAGACAGGGUGAGUGGUUGUGAAUGAGAUGUUGUGUGCUGACACUAUAAGAGGGUGCCUGGGUUUCUAUCAUACUCUUGUCUCUCCCUAGAACACAGGAUCCCUACUGAUUUUCACGGCCAGAUGUGACAUGGGCACCUCUUCCCAGUUCUGGUGCUCUGGGCUGAGGAGCCUAGCACUGUCAAAAAAAUAUGCAUGUAUAGUAAUUAGGACUUCAUUCCUCCAUGUUUUCUUCCCUUAUCUUACUGUUAUUGUCCUGAAAUCUUAUUUUAGAAAAUUGAUAAAGGAAGAGCGUGGGGUGGGGAAAGAGUGUAGAUC